rnacentral:rRNA from 1 species
UACGUAGGCAGCAAGCGUUGUCCGGAAUCAUUGGGCGUAAAGAGCUCGUAGGCGGCUUAGUAAGUCGGGUGUGAAAACUCUAGGCUCAACCUAGAGACGCCACCCGAUACUGCUAUAGCUAGAAUCCAGUAGGGGAGUGUGGAAUUCCCAGUGUAGCGGUGAAAUGCGCAGAUAUUGGGAGGAACACCAGCGGCGAAGGCGGCACUCUGGGCUGGUAUUGACGCUGAGGAGCGAAAGCGUGGGGAGCGAACAGG